rnacentral:rRNA from 1 species
AAAGACCGUGAAACCGCUCAGAGUAUAAGCCGAUGGAGCUUGGAAGGCUUCCGCAGUCUCGGGCAUCACAUGUGGUGUUUCGGAAGGCAUGUAGCAAGGUUCGUCAGGCGGAGCAUUGAGUUUGCCGCUUAGCUGUCGUACGGGGAUUCGGUAUGGGGGUCUUAGGCUUCGGCCGAAGGACUACCCGCCGUUUCCUUUAGAAUGGACGUUCAGAGCUGCUUGUGUCUAAUGCGGUUACGCCCACCACGGCACGUUGUGAGGUCACCCACAGGCUCAAACUGCCGAUCGCGCAUCCAGGACGAAAGGCAAGGAUGCGUCUAUCUUUUGCUUCAAACACUUGGCGAAGCAUUGACGUGUGUCUAGUCCUGGGUCGGGCGGCGACCGAGAUAAACCUGGUAUGAUCCUCUUUGCGACGAGCUGCUUUCUGGCCAGGCCAACGUCCGGGCGCUUCCACUUUGCCAGGAAGUGUCUAUCCCAGGCGGUAUGACCCAGCUGCAUUAUGCAAGGUCUCUCAGCCGGGCGUUGGUCUGAGUGGUGUCAAGUCCAGCACCAUCGGUCACGUCUCGAAACACGGGCCAAGGAGCAUAGCAUGUGUGCAAGUCUAAGGGUCUCCUCAAGUACCGGUGAGGGAAAGUUGAAAAGAACCCCGGGAGGGGAGUGAAAUAGAUNCUGAAACCAUGUUGCCUACAAGAAGUCAGAGCCCGUUAAUGGGUGAUGGCGUGCCUUUUGCAGAAUGAGCCGGCGAGUUAUGAUUGCAUGC